rnacentral:lncRNA from 1 species
CCGUCACUCUCUGCGCAGCCAGCGAAGUGGACGCUCCCUUCCGUUUCGAUGCACUCUCUUCCACGACCGUGCUUCUGGAUGAACACUUGGAAAACACGUGUCUUGUAACAGCUCGCCGCUGGAGAUCCAUUCGGAUACGAAGGCACUUCCCAUCUGUCGAUUGACCGGGGAAGUGGCACGCCUGGGUGCGACGACCUCGCCACUGGGCUGCGCCAAAAAUGAAGAAGGAGGGAAGGGGAGACUUCCUCUUGUCUUUCCGAAGUCGCAGGAACAACAGGAAGCGUUGUCCCGGCAACUGGGAGGGAGAAGUUCUCUGACUGGCUCGACGGACUCAAACGUCUCUUUGGUGACUCCACAUCGGUACGAGAAGGAACCGGGGAAUUGGGGACGCCUUCGGUGUCAGGUCUACCUUGUGGAGAUUCAGAAGAAAACGAAUCAGAUGCUUCCGGUGCGAGAGAAGAACGGUCUUUAUGGGCUGAUGCAUCUUGGAGCUGGUGGUGUCCUGCGGCCACUUCGCUCCUCGAAGGACCAUCUUGUUUUCCUGUAGAAGCCUCGGUAUCCGAACCGUGAUCACUUUGCUGCCUGUGGUUCAACUGAAGAAGUGGAUGAAAGGGAAUGCACGCCGACCACUCGCUCCAUUCUCCAUAACAGUCCUCAUCGGCUGAAUCUGCAACACACGAGGCAACCGGGCUUCCCGGUAUGGAUGGCUACAUUUUGAGAAGAAGAAGAGAAGUUCUAAACUCUAACCGUGUACGGUGAACCGCCAGGCUCCCUCGAAAACGGUUGUCUGAUGCCAUCGUGUACGAAAAUACAUGCAACUGUAUGGAUAUCGAGAAAGUGAGAGAGUACCAAAUCCAAAAUAUACCGGCACACACGUGCACAUGGCUGCAACUCUUUUAUGCGUUUCGCCCGUUUCGCGGGGGCGAUCGUCACAAAAAGACUGGUCCUUUCCCACUUACAAAUGCUGAGCUGCGGUAGAGCCGAGACUCCGUAAGAGAAACAGACGCCUUCAGGUGUUGCCGGUGUGCCCCUCGUUGCCUCCUCAGCUGCU